rnacentral:rRNA from 1 species
CCUACGGGUCGCAGCAGUGGGGAAUCUUGGACAAUGGGCGAAAGCCCGAUCCAGCAAUAUCGCGUGAGUGAAGAAGGGCAAUGCCGCUUGUAAAGCUCUUUCGUCGAGUGCGCGAUCAUGACAGGACUCGAGGAAGAAACCCCGGCUAACUCCGUGCCAGCAGCCGCGGUAAUACGGAGGGUGCGAGCGUUAAUCGGAAUUACUGGGCGUAAAGCGCAUGCAGGCGGCCUGUUAAGUCAGAUGUGAAAGCCCGGGGCUUAACCUCGGAAUUGCAUUUGAAACUGGCAGGCUAGAGUCUUGUAGAGGGGGGUAGAAUUCCAGGUGUAGCGGUGAAAUGCGUAGAGAUCUGGAGGAAUACCGGUGGCGAAGGCGGCCCCCUGGACGAAGACUGACGCUCAGGUGCGAAAGCGUGGGGAGCAAACAGGAUUAGAUACCCGGGUAGUC